rnacentral:rRNA from 1 species
GGCAAUGCGAGCAAUCGUGACCAGGGAACUCCAAGUGGCUGGGGUAAUACCCAGUUUUUUCUUGACUCUUCAAAGGUCUUGGAAUAAGGGGUGGGUAAGGACGGUGCCAGCCGCCGCGGUAAUACCGGCGCCUCAAGUGGUAGUCGCUUUUAUUGGGCCUAAAACGUCCGUAGCCGGUCUGGUGCAUUCGUGGGUAAAUCAACCCGCUCAACGGGUUGAAUUCUGCGAGCACGGCCAGACUUGGGACCGGGAGAGGUGUGGGGUACUCUCAGGGUAGGGGUAAAAUCCUGUCAUCCUGAGAGGACCACCUGUUGCGAAGGCGCCACACUAGAACGGAUUCGACGGUCAGGGACGAAACCUAGGGGCACGAACCGGAUUAGAUACCCGGGUAGUCCUAGAUGUAAACGCUGUGGACUUGAUGUUGGGGGUGCUCCGAGCACUCUCAGUGUCGAAGCGAAGGUGAUAAGUCCACUGCCUGGGGAGUACGGUCGCAAGGCUGAAACUUAAAGGAAUUGGCGGGGGAGCACCGCAACCUGAGGAUUGUGCGGUUUAAUUGGACUCAACGCCGGGA